rnacentral:rRNA from 1 species
ACGGAAGGCAGCAGUGGGGAAUAUUGGGCAAUGGGCGAAAGCCUGACCCAGCAACGCCGCGUGAAGGAAGAAGGUCUUCGGAUUGUAAACUUCUUUUAUGAGGGACGAAGGACGUGACGGUACCUCAUGAAUAAGCCACGGCUAACUACGUGCCAGCAGCCGCGGUAAUACGGGGGAUACGAGCGUUAUCCGGAUUUAUUGGGUUUAAAGGGUGCGCAGGCGGAUCGGUAAGUCAGGGGUGAAAAGUUGGGGCUCAACUCCAAUCGUGCCUUUGAUACUGCCGGACUAGAGUGCGAUAGACGUGGCCGGAAUGUGAUGUGUAGCGGUGAAAUGCUUAGAUAUGUCACAGAACACCGAUCGAGAAGUCAGGUCACGAGCUCGCAACUGACGCUCAGGCACGAAAGCGUGGGGAUCAAACAGGAUUAGAUACCCUGGUA